rnacentral:hammerhead_ribozyme from 1 species
AUCCAGCUGACGAAUCCCGAAUAGGACGAAAUGCGCAUCCUGGAU